UUCCAUUACGACUGGGACACGAGUUCCAGCAGCAUGAAUGACCCCAUGGUGGACUCGGGAAAAGCCAGUGAUAUCUCAGUGUCCAGUUGGCCCAUGGAGCCCAUCCAGUGGACACCUUUUCCCCUCCUCCACCAGCUUUCAAAGCAGCGACCGCACAAAGCCCGACGGCCUCACUCCUACUGCGAGGGGAUGGAGCUGGUCAACCUCGAGAGGAGCUGGACGGCCUGAAGGCCAGGCAGAGCAACACACGGGCACCGAGGUUCAGCUUUUAAAACCAACCACAUUUUAUUUCCACGUAACAAGCUCAGUGAAGGAAUUUCAAACACUUUGACAAUACAAUCAACGCAGGUGUGAUGUCAGUUCCACUCGAGGCAGAGUCCUGAAAGAGUUUCUGCCAACGUUUUUCACCACUGCUUCGGACCAGACUUCAGAAGCCAGCUUUGGCUUGGGACAGCGUAUUUCAUAGUAAGUAGUUACAGAUAAGUGUCUAGUAACACACAAUGCUGGCAUCCAACAGAGUUAAUGACUUACAUCCGGCAAUUUGAAAAUAAAGUCUAACAGAUUUGUUGAAGUCACAUCAUACUAUGUACAUAUAUGGUCUGCCCUAUAGCCAUUUCAGAACAAGCUAAGCCACUGUGAAAAGUGAAAAUACAAAUUAAGCGCUGCUGCAUUGUUCAUCAUGAUUAAUGUAAAUGAGGUAUAAAUUUAAACACCAGUACGUUUUAAGCAUUAAAGUUUAUUUUCCAAAAUGCU